GUAUCUUCUAAUUAUUCUUGUGUGAGGAAAUGGGCUUUUUAGUCUUUCCUGGGUUAUCAUUUGUUCCUUCCACCACAAUUACUCAUUUCAGAACUGAGGUUCAUCACUCUGAGAAUGCCCCAGGGUAGGGAUUUUUCUCCAACAAGCCUAUAGGAAGACUUUGCUAGUUUGACCAAGUUACGUUUCAAAAAUGCUAAGUUUACCCAGCAGAGCUGAGUUCAGUAGCAGUUGAGUGGUUGUUUAACGUUCCUUAAAUUUAGUAGGGGAUUUGACUGAAGGGAACGGCUCCAGAGGUAGUGAUUUAAUUAAUUAAUUAAUUUGAAACCCCAACUAUGCCCCAUUAUGACCUGUACUGGGAUAGUGGAGCUUGAUAUUGAUAAGCAUUUUAUACCUUGCCAGCGAAUUGGAUCACAAGAGGUUGCUCAUGAGUUUUUGCUUACAUGUGUAGUAGGAGACUAGGAGCUCAAAAUGUCACGAAAAGCUAUCAGUAUUGUUCAUGGUGGUGGACGAAACUCUGGAUGCUAUAUUUGGAGAUGUUGAUAGCAUUUCCCCAAGGCUAGAUAUAUUAUCAACUCUUUAUUUCCCUUGGCACUACUUAAUGUGACACCAGUAUAUUUCCAGAAUGAUAUUCCUGUCAAAUUAUUUUUAGAGAUGAAAAUAGGCUACAAAGUUCUUUGUAUAAACAUUAAUGCAAAACUCAACAGAGUAACCUGAAAUCAAAUGUGUGGCUAAACAAGCAUUUAUUCAUGUUUGAACUGUUUUUUUUUACAUUUUUGUUUGAGUUAUGAACAUUAUAAAUUGAAGUACAAUU